AUUACCUGUACUAUGAAUUUUUAUUAAAUGUUUAGAUAUAUAUGGAUAAAUUUUAAUUUUAAGUAAGUUAUGGUAUUUUUCUAUUUUAAAUUAUUAUGUGGGUUUUUUUUUUCCAUUUUUUUAACUUUUUUUUAUAUUUUUCCAGAAAACUAUUUUCUCUCUUACCUCUUUGUCUUCUUCUCCACCAUUGUUCCUCUUCACCUCUCUGUCUUCUCCUCCAUCUUCACCUCUUUCAUUCUCAGGCGAAGCUUCUUCUAAAACUCAUCUCCAUCGUCUUCGUCUUCUCCCAUCUUCACUCAUUUCCUUCUUGGAUUGGUGACAACCAGGUGUGAGUUUCUUCUCAAGCAGAGUUAGGGUUCUAUUCCCUUUUCCGGCGAAGCUAGCUUGUGGUUCAAUUCCGGCGAAGCUAGCUUGUGGUUCAAUUCCGACGAAUCAAGUUGUUCAGGCAGAGGUGGGAAAUCAAAAAUGGGAGAAGAAUAUAAUAGCUUCAUAUUCAGGAAGGUUGAAUAAAUUUUUUGGCAAGUUCAAAGGUACAACAAGUAGUACCUUGGUAUGAGAUCUCAGCAUUGUCCCAAUUAGUGUUAUUAUUUCAUUUUUGAUCAAAUUUCCAAGAUCAAAUAAUGAACAAUUUUUUGGAAUAUGUACACCAGACACUUUGUAAUUUAGUAGCAGUUACUUU